rnacentral:rRNA from 1 species
AUUGAACGCUGGCGGCAGGCCUAACACAUGCAAGUCGAACGGUAACAGGAAGAAGCUUGCUUCUUUGCUGACGAGAGGCGGACGGGUGAGUAAUGUCUGGGAAACUGCCUGAUGGAGGGGGAUAACUACUGGAAACGGUAGCUAAUACCGCAUAACGUCGCAAGACCAAAGAGGGGGACCUUCGGGCCUCUUGCCAUCAGAUGUGCCCAGAUGGGAUUAGCUAGUAGGUGGGGUAAUGGCUCACCUAGGCGAGGAUCCUUAGCUGGUCUGAGAGGAUGACCAGCCACACGGGAACUGAGACACGGUCCAGACACCUACGGGAGGCAGCAGUGGGGAAUAUUGCACAAUGGGCGCAAGCCUGAUGCAGCCAUGCCGCGUGUAUGAAGAAGGCCUUCGGGUUGUAAAGUACUUUCAGCGGGGAGGAAGGUGUUGAGGUUAAUAACCUCAGCAAUUGACGUUACCCGCAGAAGAAGCACCGGCUAACUCCGUGCCAGCAGCCGCCGUAA